rnacentral:rRNA from 1 species
UACAGAGGGUGCGAACGUUGUUCGGAAUUACUGGGCGUGAAGCGCGCGUAGGCGGCUCCGCAAGUGCGGUGUGAAAUCCCACGGCUUACCCGUGGAACCGCGCCGUGUACUACGGGGCUAGAGGAUGGUAGAGGAGGACGGAACUCUUGGUGGAGCGGUGAAAUGCGUAGAGAUCAAGAGGAACACCGGUGGCGAAGGCGGCCCUCUGGUCCAUUACUGACGCUGAGGCGCGAAAGCUAGGGGAGCGAACAGG